UUUCGUGAUUUUCUCGAACUCUAUUUCUCUCCACCGCCGACUGUUCUUUCUCGCCACCAUUGUUUCCCAGACAAUCUUCAACUGCGCCCUACAUUUCGGUGAGACUGCACUCUAGACACUUACAUAACACGACGCUUCAUCAUACAAACGCUCUUUCACUGACUCUUUUUAUUUUCUUUCUCAGGUCCCACUUCUGCCGGAGGAACAAGAAUCACUUGGAAGCCACUCCCCUAUCAUUAGCCAAUAUGCCACACAACACAAUCUCCACCCAGACCAAAGCCUACAAGAUCACACUCGAAUUGUUGCCAACAUCGGCAUCCAUACACUCACUGACCACCAGAGCCUUGACCACAACACUCCCGACACAACAACACUCCCCCUAACCACGAGAGUCUCAUCCACAACACACCCGACCACCACAACAAUCACACAAACCACGAGAGUCACAUCCGCAACACACAUGAGGACCCCCAAUCCAACCACUAAUAAUGGGAGUUUCAUCACCGUUCUAGGUAUUGAUCCCUAAAAUGACAAAAGACUCACAAAGAGAACCCUUGGCCCCUUUCUCCCUCGAUAUCUUUUCGAUCUACAAAUUGAUCUAUGACAUCAGAUGCAAGAGAAAUUGAAUCUUAAUCUUCUAGAUCUGAAAUCGUCUCUAAUUUCCUAAUCUCCCUUUCGUGAUUUUCUCGAACUCUAUUUCUCUCCACCGCCGACUGUUCUUUCUCGCCACCAUUGUUUCCCAGACAAUCUUCAACUGCGCCCUACAUUUCGGUGAGACUGCACUCUAGACACUUACAUAACACGACGCUUCAUCAUACAAACGCUCUUUCACUGACUCUUUUUAUUUUCUUUCUCAGGUCCCACUUCUGCCGGAGGAACAAGAAUCACUUGGAAGCCACUCCCCUAUCAUUAGCCAAUAUGCCACACAACACAAUCUCCACCCAGACCAAAGCCUAC
rnacentral:lncRNA from 1 species